rnacentral:lncRNA from 1 species
UUAGGUACCGGGGAAUGAACUCAGGACCUUAUGGUUGUGAAGUAUCAUGGUGCCACUGAGCUAAAUCCCUGGAUCUGACUUGAGUUGGCCAGGGGUAACUGAAACUGCUAAAAGUGGAAUUGUGCACAAUGGAGGAUUCGUGUGCUUUGUAAUGCUUAAAGGAGGAUUUAUAUAGAGCAUGAAUUAUAUUUGGGCAAGAAGUUACUUUCAACUUUUUGGCACUGUUAGUAUUUGAUAUGUUUCAUGGAAGAUUCACCAAAACACUUAAAGCAGAGGGAGUUUCUAACCCGGAGCUCAAGGAAAACUUAAUGAGGAAGCUUGGGGUUAGUACUGAUAGUAACCAGCGUGAAAAAGAGAAUAGUAUCUGGUUCCCAGAAACAGUUUGUAUUUCUUCAUAUGAGCAUGGCAGCCACCACCAAAGGAUGAAUGAAGAGGACCACCAAAGAAGCUACACAAAGAAGCUCAUCUAGUGUCCUAAGGAUCACCCCUUGGUCCUGUCUCCCAAAGGUUCUAGUCAUCUACCAAUAACUUUACCAUGGAGACCAAGCCUUUAAUCACCAUGGACACUUGGUGAGCACUCAAAGUACACCUAAACUAUACCAGAG